rnacentral:rRNA from 1 species
CUACGGGAGGCAGCAGUGAGGAAUAUUGCACAAUGGGGGGAACCCUGAUGCAGCAACGCCGCGUGGAGGAUGACGCAUUUCGGUGUGUAAACUCCUUUUAUAUGUCAAGAAAAUGACGGUAGCAUAUGAAUAAGCACCGGCUAACUCCGUGCCAGCAGCCGCGGUAAUACGGAGGGUGCAUGCGUUACUCGGAAUCACUGGGCGUAAAGGACGCGUAGGCGGGUUGGAAAGUCAGGUGUGAAAUCCUACAGCUUAACUGUAGAACUGCACUUGAAACUUCUAAUCUAGAGUAUGGGAGGGGGAGAUGGAAUUAGUGGUGUAGGGGUAAUAUCCGUAGAUAUCACUAGGAAUACCUAAAGCGAAGGCGAUCUCCUGGAACAUUACUGACGCUAAGGCGUGAAAGCGUGGGGAGCAAACAGGAUUAGAUACCCUUGUAGUC